CCCCAUUUGACCCAAAAAUCACGCGUUUUCUCUUCGAGAAUCCCCCAUUUAAGCGAAAAUCACGCGUUUUCUCUUCGAGAGCCCCCAUUUAACCCGAAAAUCACGGAUUUUCUUUUCACAAAUCCCUCAUUUAAUCGAAAAUCAUGCGUUUUCUCUUUGCAAAUCCCCCAUUUAACUUGAAAAUCACGUGUUUUGUCUUUGCAAAUCACCCAUUUAACCCGGAAAUCACGUGUUUUCUCUUCGAGAAUGCCGAAUUUAACCCGGAAAUCACGUGUUUUCUCUUUGCGAAUCUCCCAUUUAAGCAAAAAUCACACGUUUUCUCUUCGAGAAUCCCCCAUUUAACCCAAAAAUCAUGUGAUUUCUCUUCCCAAAUCCUUCAUUUUACCCGAAAAUCACGCGCUUUCUCUUUGGAAAUCCUCAUUUAACUCGAAAAUCACGCGCUUUCUUUUUGAGAAUCUCCCACUCAACCCGAAAAUCAUGCAUGUCCUUUUGAGAAUCCCCCAUUUAACCCCAAAAUCACGCGUUUCCUCUUCGGAAACCCCCCAUUUAGGCAAAAAUGCCGCGUUUUCUCUUCAGAAAACCCCCAUUUAACCCGAAUAUCACGUGUUUUCUCUUCGAGAAUCCCCCAUUUAACCCACAAAUCAUGAGUUUUCUCUUCGAGAAUCCCCCAUUUAAGCGAAAAUCACGCGUUUUCUCCUUGGAAAUCCCCCAUUUAAGCAAAAAUCACACGCUUUCUCUUCGAGAAUUCCCCAUUUAAGCAAAAAUCAUACGUUUUUUCUUCCAAAGCCCCCAAUUAAGAGAAAAUCACACGUAUUCUCUUUGGAAAUCCACAUUUAACUUGAAAAUCACGUGCUUUCUAUUUGAGAAUCCCCCACUUAACCCGAAAAUCAGGCAUUUUCUUUUCGAGAAUCCCCCAUUUAACCCGAAAAUCACGCGUUUCCUAUUUGAAAACCCGCCAUUUAAACAAAAAUGCCACAUUUUCUCAUCAGAAAACCCCCAUUUAACCCGAAUAUCACGUGUUUUCUAUUCGAGAAUCCUUCAUUUAAGAAAAAAUCAUGCGUUGUCUCUUCGCAAAUCCCCCAUUUUACCCGAAAAUCACGCGCUUUCUUUUCGAGAAUCCCCCAUUGAACCCGAAAAUCACGCAUUUUCUCUUCAAGAAACCCCCAUUUAACCAGAAGACCACGCGUUUUCUCUUUGAGAAUCCCACCUUUAAGCGAAAGUUGUGCAUUUUCUCUUCAAGAAUCCCCCAUUUUACCCGAAAAUCACGCGCUUUCUCUUCGAGAAUCUCCCAUUUAAGCAAAAAUCACGUGUUUUCUCUUCGAGAAUCCCCCAUUUAAGCAAAAAUCAUACGUUUUUUCUUCCAAAAUCCCCCAUUUAUGCAAAAAUGCCGCGUUUUCUCUUCAGAAAACCCCCAUUUAACCCGAAUAUCACAUGUUUUCUCUUCGAGAAUCCCCCAUUUAAGCAAAAAACACGUCGCUUCGUCUUCGCAAAUCCCCCAUUUAAGCGAAAAUCACGCGUUUUCUCUUCGAGAAUCCCCCUUUUAAGCAAAAAUCACGUGUUUUCUCUUAGAGAAUCCCCCAUUUAAGCAAAAAACACGUGUUUUCUCUUCGCAAAUCCCCCAUUUAAGCGAAAAUCACGCAUUUUCUCUUCGCAAAUACCCCAUUUAAGCGAAAAUCACGCGUUUUCUCUUCGCAAAUCCCCCAUCUAAGCAAAAGUCACGCGUUUUCUCUUUGAGAAUCCCCCAUUUAAGCGAAAAUCACGCAUUUUCUCUUCGCAAAUCCCCCACUUAAGUUGAAAAUCUCGUGCUUUCACUUCGAGAAUCCCC
ensembl:lncRNA